UUUAUUUGAGAGUUUGAUCCUGGCUCAGGACGAACGCUGGCGGCGUGCCUAAUACAUGCAAGUUGAGCGAUGAAGAUUGGUGCUUGCACCAAUUUGAAGAGCAGCGAACGGGUGAGUAACGCGUGGGGAAUCUGCCUUUGAGCGGGGGACAACGAUUUGGAAACGAAUGCUAAUACCGCAUAACAACUUU
rnacentral:rRNA from 1 species